CAGCAGAGCUGGGAGAGGCACUUGCUCUUUAGGCUCUGGGCCCAGUGUUCUUUGUACAGUACCAGGGCCUCUCUGAGUGAAAAUCUGAAGACACAAGCUCAAAGCCUGCAGGGCCCAGGGAGCUGCCGUUGUUGGUGAACUGGCACUGGGGCCAGCUCCAGGAGGUGCGGGAGCCUGGCCAGCUGGAGGAGAACACCCCCCACCUAAAGGGGCAUCUGCUCCUCUGCCCAGCCUGUGGUUCCCCUGGGAGUGAAGGCCCAGCGUUGCAAGAUCUUAAUGGAAGUCACACGUUGGAGAUUUUAGAUGAAUCUGACAAACCUACCUCAGUUACCCCAGAACUCCUAUGACCGGCUUUAAGCUCUGGUCAGGGAAACAGAGGCAAAAGCAGCCUGAGAAUUACUGAGGAAGACUGGACGGAAACCAGGGUCAGAAAACUGUGCAAGAUUACGGGAAUCCAUCCUUAUCUUCAAACACUCUGCUGUUGUGAAAUAAGGACUUGAUUUCCAUCAAGAAGGAAGAGGACCACUUGCGAGUGUGUGACCUUUCUUGGACUCCAACCCACACUUCCUUCACCCAGCACUUUACCUUCCCGCACCUGGACCAAAUUUGACCUAAAAUCAUUGAUCAUCGUCCUGCCUUUAGACACUUUCUAAUUUUCAGGUCAUGAUACAUGUUGUUGUUGUGUGUUUGUUUUGUUUUAUUUUCCAGAAAGGAAAAUCUGAUUGUAUCAGUUACCUGGCAGAAAUUAUUUAAUGGCCUGGGAUAAUGAAAAGUUCUGGAGGCCGGGCGUGGUGGCUCA
rnacentral:lncRNA from 1 species